rnacentral:rRNA from 1 species
UACGUAGGGUGCGAGCGUUGUCCGGAAUUAUUGGGCGUAAAGAGCUCGUAGGCGGUCUGUCGCGUCUGCUGUGAAAUCCCGAGGCUCAACCUCGGGCUUGCAGUGGGUACGGGCAGGCUAGAGUGCGGUAGGGGAGAAUGGAACUCCUGGUGUAGCGGUGGAAUGCGCAGAUAUCGGGAGGAACACCGGUGGCGAAGGCGGCGACCUGGGUAGAUACUGACGCUGAGGUGCGAAAGCGUGGGGAGCAAACAGG